UCUGACGAUAUUGCACUACU
rnacentral:miRNA from 1 species